GGGGCGGGGCGAGGGGCGGUGCCCGGCCGCCUCCCGGAGCCGUGCCGAGCCGGCCCCUGUCUGCUCGCGGCUGGGCGGCGCCCCCUACCCCGCCGCAGCGCCCACGGCCCCCUCCGUUCCCACUGUCCCAGCUGCAGUGAUGGAAAGCUCGUCAGUGGCAUCCGCCUCCUCAGAGGCAGGGAGCAGCCGCUCACAGGAGAUCGAGGAGCUGGAGCGCUUCAUUGACAGCUACGUGCUGGAGUACCAGGUGCAGGGGCUGCUGACCAACAAGAUGGAGGGGGACAGGGAGAGUGAGAAGAUGCAGUCCAACAUCUUGCAGUGGACGGCAGAUUGUAGUGAGCAGCUUGAUGACCGCUGUUCCCCAUCCAGAGGGAAGGGCUCAUCGUCUCCUGAACACAAUCAGAAUGGCAACAAGGAGGGGUCCCUUGACAUGCUGGGCACUGACAUCUGGGCUGCCAACACCUUCGACUCCUUCAGUGGUGCAACAUGGGACUUGCAGCCUGAAAAACUAGAUUUCACGCAGUUUCACAGGAAGCUCAGAAACACCACCAAACAUCCAAUGCCUCACAUAGACAGAGAAGGGAUCGGAAAAGGGAAGUACGAGGACAGUGAUAGCAUCAACUUGAACGACAUAGAGAAAGUCCUCCCAGUGUGGCAGGGUUACCAUCCAUUGCCUCAUGAAGAUGAAAUCGCACACACCAAAAAGCUGUUCAGAAGGAGGAGAAACGACCGGAGGCGACAGCAGAGACUUCCCGGAGGGAACAAGUCUCAGCAGCACACAGAUCAUCAGCAAGGCGGCACCAAACACAACAGGGACCACCAGAAACUCUACCAAGGUGGCCAGGCCCCUCACUCCUCAAGCAGAACGGGCUACCACGGCUACAGCCAGAACCGGAGAUGGCACCACAACCAGAAGCACUCAGACAAUGACAAAGAAAUGCACAGAAACGCCAAAGAGACUGAGAAUUUGAAAAUUGAGGACACCUCUGUCUGCAUGGUGCAUAAUCCAGUGGAGAUGAAGCAGGGCCCAGAGGCGGUGGAGAAGCAGUCCCAGCAGUACAUCCAGGAGCCGGAGACCAAGAGGAAAGACAGUAUUCACGAGCACAUUGGGGAGAGACCCAAGAUCAAUUUGCUUCAGUCUUCCAAAGACAGGCUGCGGAGGAGACUAAAAGAAAAGACGCCUUGUCUUUCCCUUUUCACGGACCAGGACAAAAUCACAGUUGAAACUACCAAUCCUGAAAAGAACAAAAUGGACAAAUUAAUUGAAAUCCUUAACAGCAUGAGGAACAACAGUAGUGAUGUUGACUCCAAGCUCACCACCUUCAUGGAGGAGGCCCAGAACUCCACCAACUCUGAGGAGAUGCUGGGGGAGAUAGUUAAGACCAUCUACCAGAAAGCAGUGACAGACCGCAGCUUUGCUUCCACAGCAGCCAAACUCUGUGACAAAAUGGCCCUAUUUAUGGUGGAAGGAACCAAAUUCCGGAGUCUGCUCCUCAACAUGUUGCAGAAGGAUUUCACCAUGCGGGAGGAGCUGCAGCAGCGGGACGUGGAGCGCUGGCUGGGGUUCAUCACCUUCCUCUGUGAGGUCUUUGGCACCAUGAGGAGCAGCACUGGAGAGCCCUUUCGAGUCCUCGUCUGCCCAAUUUAUACCUGCCUCAGGGAGAGAGCCUGGGAAGUGCAGCCCCUCCUUUGCAGGAGGCUUUUGCUGCCGGAGGAUCCAUCUAGCAGGAUGUGGGGCUUCCAGGAGAAGGCUGCCAGCCCUUGCCCUGUUUCCCACCAGUGCCGUGAGCCCCCCAGCAGCUGCUACGAGCAAAGCACGCGUUUGCACCGUGCUGGUCCCACUACUGUUGCUGCUCCCCAGGAGAUGGCUCCUCUGCUGUCUCACCACUCUCCAAGAAGUCCCAACCAUCCUGUGGCUCUAGGUGAAUAUUUUUGGAGGUGGGAAAGUUUAGUGCUUUCACACCAGAGUCAUCACUGAGGCAUCACAAAACACUGCAUGCUAAGAGGCAGUUUGCGGCAAGCAUCACUUAUGCCAUUUUGCAAGCACUAUCGUAUCCAGUAAUUAGUGCUGUGCCUUACAGGAAGAAUGCCGCUGCAGUUGUGAAGGGUAAUGCACGCAUUUGGCUGCUCCCACUGCCUUUCCCGGUGGGGAAUGCUGCAGAGCACUAUCCAGCCUGCGUGGUUUGGUGAUAAGUGGGGGACUGCAAUGCAGGUUCUCCAUCUUGCUUGUGGCAUGCGCACCCCGGAAAAUGACACAUAAGUACUUCAGCCUCUCUGCAGCCCCGUCUGUCUCUGGAGAAAGUAGGUAAUGAACCCAAAUAAUCGCAGGUAUGUGUAAUGGGGGAGCGUGGCUUGCUCCUGGUGGUCUGCACCAACUGCGUGCGAGUCCAUUGCCAUUUGGAGGGAGCCAGCCAGUUCUCUGUGGCGAAGCCCAGCUGCAGGUUUAGGGCCUCUUUGCCCCCUCAAGCACUGUUGUGUACCCAUUCCAUGGGCCUUCCCUUUGCAAAGACUGUUGCCAGCAGCACUUGUUUCCCUUGGGAGUGCAGGGGAGGAAGGAAUUGGGGGAAGAAUGCCCUGCACUCCAUGUAAUCCCUGUCCCCCCACUACACACAGCACUCCCAGGAACAGCCCCUCAGGUUUAUUUUUGCUUGUUCGCAAAAACAUUUAGCACCCAUCGCCCAGCGGGACGCAGAAAUUCGGGAGCGGGAGCCCUCCCUCUGCAAAGAUGUAGGCGUGAGCGCCUGCUGCCUCCUGCCAGUCUGCAAAGCUGUCAGUCCAGCACCAGCAACAAAAGUGAGAAGCCUUUCACAACUGAGACUGGGUAUUAUAUGACCGUCUGGGCAGAUUCUGGCAUGCAGCCUCAGCUCUUAGGAAAUUGAGCAGACUUUUUGUCUGCUUUCCAGCAGGAACUGCUUCUUUCGCUCACCCGAUAUGGGGAACUGGCUGGAGAGCAAAAGGAAGUUUUCUCUCAGCCAGCCUGAGCCUCAGGGGGAUGAUUACAGGCUGAGAUGAGCAGUGUGUGAGGCUCACUCACCUGCGCUGCCUCUGCUUCGUGCUCCUUCCCCAGCUCCCUCGCCCGCACUGGGCAGCUGGGGUGAAAGAUGUGGGAACCUGCUGGAGAGCAACCUGGUGGGGUGCAGGCACAUCUCCGCAGCAGGGAGGAGCAGCAGGGAGGAGCAGCUAUAAAUACUUAAAUAAAUAACAAUUCUGAUGUGGGAGCGCUAAGUUAAUAGGUAUAGCCUGUUUACAUUAAGAUAUUUUAAGUAAAUCUAAAUCUGAUUACGAGGGUCGGGUUUUGAUCAUGCAAAAGCCACGACUGCAGGGCUACAGUGUCCCCGGUAGCUGCAGAGUGCCUGUCUGGGCACAGCCCUGAUGGUGUGACCUGGCUGGCGCUCAGCCCCCCGGCUGUCCCAGGGUCAUCCCAGUAGGAUGGAGAGUGACAUCUGACUGCAGUCUCCUUAUGGCCAUAGGUAGAUAAGGCAAAUAUACCCUUUAGCCAAAUUGCUGCACAUCGAACAGUCUUUGACAUAUUCGCCCACAUAACCACUUUUUGAAGCAGGCAAGAGUGUCCCAGCUCCAUGGCUGGGAAGCCGGUGCAAGGAAAACCCAAGUGAAGCUGCAGCUUUCCCUGGCUACAUCUCACCAGGGUAGACCAGGGUCACACGAGGAGAAUGCAGCAGAGGAAGGACGGGAAUCAGGCCACCAUGGGACCUUCCUAAUUGCCUCAGCCUUUAGAAAAUCUUCCCCCAGUUUGCAGACUGAGUAUGUUUGCAUAAAGCCAUGGGAGGGGAGCAUCAGUUUCUUGCUUUAACUCCACAUUUCUUGCUUUAAUUUUCAUGCUGUGUACUUCAAUAACAAAUACCAAACAUAGGAGAGAUGCAUGUAUGUUAACUUGCACCCCUGCUCCAUUCCAUGCUCACAAACCAGUCUCCGUUAAAUACCCCAGGAGCUUGUUUCCAGGCUACCACCUGUUUAUAUUUGUCCCUGAUUUAAACAUAUAUAUUUUUUGUUGGGUUUAAAGUAAUCUCAUGUUGUUUUUUUUUUUUUUUUUUUUUUGCGAAGAAUCUGUGAACUAUUUGUGAGAACUUAUCUCAGAGCAUGGGGAUUGGGCUUAACUAACUUUUUCCAAACAACUCAGCAGGAAGAUAAACUUGUGGAAACUGCUGCAUGUAUUCAACGCCCUAGCUGGACCUUUGGCUAACACGAGAUAAAACCGACAGGACCACAUGCUCAGGCAGAUGCCGUAAACAUCAGCUUCAAAGCAAACAAACUGCUGUCUGCAGAAAGCAGAAGACAGUGAAGACAAAACUUUGAGACCAAUGAUAAUUCCUCAAGUUACCUCUUUUUUCUUUUUUUUUUUUUUCCAGCAGUUGUGGGCCUGUAAACAAAUUGGCAUUUAUUUGGAAAGGAAGGGAAAGAGGAAAAAAUGAGUGGGAAGGAGAGAUGAUUAAGACUGAGCAGCAAAGCUGUGGUGUUAGCUAAGAAGUGUGACUUCAGAGCAAAACCAGUUACACUGAGCGGUGUUGUACAUGGACAGCUGUAAUUAGUCCAGCAGCUUUUCCCAAGUAUGGCUUUCCCUGAUGAAUUUCGGACACUAGUGAAGUCAGUUUUCCCAAUUUUUCUCCAUUUUCUCCACGUGUAGUGCAUGCAUCCAGGGAGCAGCUCAGGACCAGUGGCACAUGGCUACACUGACACCGAUUUCUAAGCCCAGUGGAGUGGCAGUGGCUGUAACUCCCAGUGCUGCCAGCACCUGUGAUUUUAUCAUGCACUUUGCGAUGACAUGUUGUUCACAAUACCCCAGCUCCCUGUGUCAGCUGGCUGAGAAUCUCGGCUUUUAUCUGCUUGGAAAGCAACUGUACUUUAUCUCCUGUGGUUUGAGCAGAAAGCCUGAAACGGCAUCUUUGUGCACAUGACAAAGUCAGAAAGCGAAGAUGACAACAAAGAAGCAUGUGCUAGCAAAAAUAUAAGUGGUUUUGAUCCAGUUUUGCUCACGGCCCCUGGUUUUGUGGAGUCGGACAGGCUGAGCUCCUGUGCUUUGCCAUUGCCAGGUGGACGCUGCCCCCUGACCACAUGCACCAGGUUUGAAACAAGAGUGAAGAGUGAGGUAGCAGCCCCCAGGAAGAUAUCAACACACAGCAAGGAACUGGUAGACUGGGAGUUGCACAGGCAUCUUCCCUCAUCCCACACCAUCAAUGUCUGACCUUAUGGCACCAUUUGGGCUUUCUCUUGAAAGCUGCUUGUGCCUACCAGCUUGUCUUUGUAAUGCAAAGAUCACAGAGAGCAGAACAGGGCCUGGAGUUGGUUCCCAAAGUGGGGAAGUGGCUGAAAACAUAGCCAAUAAAAUGCCAAAAUGUGGACGGAGAUCCCCCUUCACUGCUUUGAGGCCUCAGACAGGGGGGAUGAGAUGGUGAGAAGGGACCAGGGAAAAUCCCAUGCUCUCAGCAAGCAGCAUUGCUCCAGAAGAAAAGUUUACACCUGAGACACAACAGUUUCACUGGAACCAUUGUGCUUGCAACCAUAUAUAAUCAGCCUGGAAGGAGCCAUAUUCACAAUGCACCGGACGUUCGCACUCUGCCAUCGGGUAAUUUCGUGGCUGUUGGGAGACCGUCCCAGCGGGACGGGGAGGCUCGGCCGUGAGCGGGCAGCCCUUGGGCAAGAGACCAGCACAGCCCUUCCCUCCCAAAGGGCUGCUCUGCUGCCUGGGUACAGUCAUUCGAGGGCUGUGUUUCCUGGCCAUUUGUUACAAUCUCAGGACGUGAAGGAGGACGCCGUGCUUUGCUGCUCCAUGGAGCUGCAAAGCACCGGCCGGCUGCUGGAGGAGCAGCUGCCUGAGAUGAUGACGGAGAUGCUGGCCAUAGCUCGCGACAAGAUGCUGUGCC